AAUCAACGCUGGCGGCGUGCCUAACACAUGCAAGUCGAACGAGAAAGUGGAGCAAUCCAUGAGUAAAGUGGCGCACGGGUGAGUAACACGUGACUAACCUACCCUUGAGUGGGGGAUAACUGAGGGAAACCUUAGCUAAUACCGCAUAAUACCCACGGGUCAAAGGAGCAAUUCGCUCGAGGAGGGGGUCGCGGCCGAUUAGUUAGUUGGCGGGGUAAUGGCCCACCAAGACGAUGAUCGGUAUCCGGCCUGAGAGGGCGCACGGACACA
rnacentral:rRNA from 1 species